rnacentral:snRNA from 1 species
UCAUAAUAUCGCUCCUUCCACACU